UACGUAGGGUGCAAGCGUUGUCCGGAAUUAUUGGGCGUAAAGGGCUCGUAGGCGGUCCGUCACGUCGGGAGUGAAAACUCGGGGCUUAACCCCGAGCCUGCUUUCGAUACGGGCGGACUAGAGGUAGGUAGGGGAGAACGGAAUUCCUGGUGUAGCGGUGGAAUGCGCAGAUAUCAGGAGGAACACCGGUGGCGAAGGCGGUUCUCUGGGCCUUACCUGACGCUGAGGAGCGAAAGCGUGGGGAGCGAACAGG
rnacentral:rRNA from 1 species